UACAGAGGGUGCAAGCGUUGUUCGGAAUUACUGGGCGUAAAGGGCGCGUAGGCGGCCUUCUAAGUCGAACGUGAAAUCCCCGGGCUCAACCCGGGAACUGCGUCCGAUACUGGAAGGCUUGAAUCCGGGAGAGGGAUGCGGAAUUCCAGGUGUAGCGGUGAAAUGCGCAGAUAUCAGGAGGAACACCGGUGGCGAAGGCGGGACUCUGGGCCGAUACUGACGCUGAGGAGCGAAAGCGUGGGGAGCAAACAGG
rnacentral:rRNA from 1 species